GCUUUGGAAGAGACCCUGAAGUAGAAGGUGAAAGGACUCUUUGUUUAAAACUUUUUUUUUUUUUUUAAUGUCAAGCUAGAAGUUUUGUGACAACAAACUAAGCUCACAGUUAGUUUUUAAGGAAUAUAAAUGAAGUUCAGCUAUAGCAAAUUUGCACUCUUUCCAUGAAUUAAAUUGCUCUCAAAGAAAAAGGAUCGAAAGGAUUAAAACUAAAACUAG
rnacentral:lncRNA from 1 species